rnacentral:rRNA from 1 species
GACGAACGCUGGCGGCGUGCUUAACACAUGCAAGUCGAACGCUGAAGCUCAGCUUUUGUUGGGUGGAUGAGUGGCGAACGGGUGAGUAACACGUGAGUAACCUGCCCCCUUCUUUGGGAUAGCGCCCGGAAACGGGUGCUAAUACUGGAUAUUCACUGGUCUUCGCAUGGGGGUUGGUGGAAAGGGUUUUUCUGGUGGGGGAUGGGCUCGCGGCCUAUCAGCUUGUUGGUGGGGUGAUGGCCUACCAAGGCUUUGACGGGUAGCCGGCCUGAGAGGGUGACCGGUCACAUUGGGACUGAGAUACGGCCCAGACUCCUACGGGAGGCAGCAGUGGGGAAUAUUGCACAAUGGGCGCAAGCCUGAUGCAGCGACGCCGCGUGAGGGAUGGAGGCCUUCGGGUUGUGAACCUCUUUCGCUCAUGGUCAAGCCGCAACAAUGGUUGUGGUGAGGGUAGUGGGUAAAGAAGCGCCGGCUAACUACGUG